GGAUAGACGAAGUAUUUUCAACGUGUGUUUUGCUUUAGAGUGAAACCUUUUCAAAAUUUCUCAUUAGGCAGAUUACCCUAAGAACUUACAACGAAAUUUGCGUACAUUUUUCAAAUAAAACAUGCCAAUUUCUGGAGCCUGGAGGUAAGCUGGCUUCC
ensembl:snoRNA T25D3.8 ncRNA